UACAGAGGGUGCAAGCGUUGUUCGGAAUUAUUGGGCGUAAAGCGCGUGUAGGCGGCUUUGCAAGUCGGGUGUGAAAGCCCUCAGCUUAACUGAGGAAGUGCGCCCGAAACUGCAUAGCUUGAGUACCGGAGAGGAGAGUGGAAUUCCUGGUGUAGCGGUGAAAUGCGCAGAUAUCAGGAAGAACACCCGUGGCGAAGGCGGCUCUCUGGGACGGUACUGACGCUGAGACGCGAAAGCGUGGGGAGCGAACAGG
rnacentral:rRNA from 1 species